rnacentral:rRNA from 1 species
GUUGACGUAUUCUGAAAGGGAUACUUCUUCGGACAAUAUACAAGGUGCUGCAUGGUUGUCGUCAGCUCGUGCCGUGAGGUGUCGGGUAAGUCCCAUAACGAGCGCAACCCUAUCAUUAGUUGCCAUCAGGUCAAGCUGGGGACUCUAAUGAAACUGCCUACGCAAGUAGUGAGGAAGGUGGGGAUGACGUCAAAUCAGCACGGCCCUUACGGUCCAGGGCUACACACGUGCUACAAUGGCCGGUACAAAGGGCAGCUACCUGGUGACAGGAUGCUAACCUCAAAAGACCGGUCUCAGUUCGGAUCGGAGUCUGCAACCCGACUCCGUGAAGCUGGAAUCGCUAGUAAUCGCGCAUCAGCCAUGGCGCGGUGAAUACGUUCCCGGGCCUU